GAUGAACGCUGGCGGCGUGCUUAACACAUGCAAGUCGAACGGAAAGGCCCAAGCUUGCUUGGGUACUCGAGUGGCGAACGGGUGAGUAACACGUGGGUGAUCUGCCCUGCACUUCGGGAUAAGCCUGGGAAACUGGGUCUAAUACUGGAUAGGACCACUUCUUGGAUGGUGUGGUGGAAAGUUUUUUCGGUGUGGGAUGAGCUCGCGGCCUAUCAGCUUGUUGGUGGGGUAAUGGCCUACCAAGGCGUCGACGGGUAGCCGGCGUGAGAGGGUGUACGGCCACAUUGGGACUGAGAUACGGCCCAGACUCCUACGGGAGGCAGCAGUGGGGAAUAUUGCACAAUGGGCGCAAGCCUGAUGCAGCGACGCCGCGUGGGGGAUGACGGCCUUCGGGUUGUAAACUCCUUUCGCUAGGGACGAAGCGUUUUUGUGACGGUACCUGGAGAAGAAGCACCGGCUAACUACGUG
rnacentral:rRNA from 1 species